CCCAGCAGCUCCUUCCAGCUCUGUCUUUUGGCCAAAGAACAUGCUGCUUCUUGCUGGAAACUCCAAGUCACCAGGGUGCACCCGUUCAGAAUAAAAGGAGUGCCUACAUUUU